rnacentral:lncRNA from 7 species
UACGUGUUUUCUCUUCAAAAAUCCCCCCUUCACCCCAAAAUCAUGCAUUCUCUCUUCAACAAUCCCCCAUUUAACCCCAAAAUCACGCAUUUUCUCUUGGAAAACACCCCAUUAUCCCGAAAAUCAUGCAUUUUCUCUCCAAAAAAUCCCCAUUACCCCAAAAAUCACACAUUUCCUCCUCAGAAAUCCCCAUUUAACCCCCAAAUGCAUGCAUUUUCUCUUAGAAAAUCCCCAUUUAACUCAAAAAUCUCGCCUUUUCUCUUGCAAAAUCACGCCAUUUACCCACAAAAUCACGCAUUUUCUCUCCCAAAAAUUACCCCAUUAUCCCAAGAAUCACCACAUUCCUCCUCAGAAAUCCCCUUUUAACCCCAAAAUCAUGCGUUUUCUCUUGGAAAAUCCCCCAUUUCACUCAAAAAUCUUGCCUUUUCUCUUGGAAAAUUCCCGCAUUUACCCCAAAAUCAUGCAGUUCUCUUAGAAA